rfam:Loxodonta africana unplaced genomic scaffold scaffold_54, whole genome shotgun sequence.
UAUAAGGCCUUACUGAAGGCCACAAAUUCCAACAUCUGGAAUUCUU